UGGCUCAGAUUGAACGCUGGCGGAAUGCUUUACACAUGCAAGUCGAACGGUAGAGGGGGCAACCCUUGAGAGUGGCGAACGGGUGAGUAAUAUAUCGGAACGUGCCCGGUCGUGGGGGAUAACGUAGCGAAAGCUACGCUAAUACCGCAUACGAUCUACGGAUGAAAGCGGGGGAUCGCAAGACCUCGCGCGAUUGGAGCGGCCGAUAUCAGAUUAGGUAGUUGGUGAGGUAAAGGCUCACCAAGCCGACGAUCUGUAGCUGGUCUGAGAGGACGACCAGCCACACUGGGACUGAGACACGGCCCAGACUCCUACGGGAGGCAGCAGUGGGGAAUUUUGGACAAUGGGCGCAAGCCUGAUCCAGCAAUGCCGCGUGCAGGAUGAAGGCCUUCGGGUUGUAAACUGCUUUGUACGGAACGAAACGGUGAGCUCUAAUACAGUUUGCUAAUGACGGUACCGUAAGAAUAAGUACCGGCUAACUACGUG
rnacentral:rRNA from 1 species